UAGCCAUGCGAGUCGAGAGGGUUCGGCCCUCGGCGGACCGCUCAGUAACACGUGGAGAACCUGCCCUAAGGUGGAGCAUAAUCUCGGGAAACUGAGGCUAAUACUCCAUAGCCGACGAGCGCUGGAAUGCCUUGUCGGCCAAAGCUCCGGCGCCUUAGGAUGGCUCUGCGACCUAUCAGGUUGUAGUGAGUGUAACGGACUCACUAGCCUACGACGGGUACGGGCGUUGAGAGACGUCGCCCGGAGAUGAACUCUGAGACAUGAGUUCAGGCCCUACGGGGCGCAGCAGGCGCGAAAACUGCACAAUGUGGGCAACCACGAUGCGGGAACACCAAGUGCCGGCACAGAGUGUCGGCUGUUUUCAAGCCUAAAAAGCUUGGAGAGUAAGGGCUGGGUAAGACGGGUGCCAGCCGCCGCGGUAAUACCUGCAGCCCAAGUGGUGGCCGUUAUUAUUGGGCCUAAAGCGUCCGUAGCCGGCUGAGUAGAUGCCUGUGUAAAUCGAACGGCUCAACCGUUCGAAUUGCGGGUAGACCGCUCGGCUUGGGACCGGGAGAGCCUCGAGGUACUCCAGGGGUAGAGGUGAAAUUCUGUAAUCCUUGGGGGACCACCGGUGGCGAAGGCGUCGAGGUUGAACGGCUCC
rnacentral:rRNA from 1 species